rnacentral:rRNA from 1 species
GAUGAACGCUAGCGGCAGGCCUAACACAUGCAAGUCGAGGGGUAACAUAGUAGCUUGCUACUGAUGACGACCGGCGCACGGGUGCGUAACGCGUAUGCAACCUACCUCUUACUGGGGAAUAGCCUCUGGAAACGGAGAUUAAUGCCCCAUAGUAUCUUGGACCCUCCUGGGUUUAAGAUUAAAGGUUACGGUAAGAGAUGGGCAUGCGUCCUAUUAGCUAGAUGGUGUGGUAACGGCACACCAUGGCGACGAUAGGUAGGGGCCCUGAGAGGGGGAUCCCCCACACUGGUACUGAGACACGGACCAGACUCCUACGGGAGGCAGCAGUGAGGAAUAUUGGACAAUGGGCGGAAGCCUGAUCCAGCCAUGCCGCGUGCAGGAAGACUGCCCUAUGGGUUGUAAACUGCUUUUGUACGGGAAGAAACACUCCUACGUGUAGGGGCUUGACGGUACCGUAAGAAUAAGCAUCGGCUAACUCCG